GUUUAAGUGAAAUAUAUUAUUUGUCUCUCAUCAGAAUACAAGGAUCCUGUUGGCCUACCACAGGGCUUUGGAUUCGCCGUAUCCACCAGCGGCUGCAUGUGGUUGUGGCUACAUAAGGAUGUGGCCUGCUCCGCCUCUGACACCGCCCCCACCGCCGCUGCCGCCACGGAAUGAAGAAAUUAAAAACAAUUAAAUUUUGUAUAUAUUUCUUUUCAUUCAAAUCCUAAAAAAUAUUUAAGAUUUCUUAGUCGCUUUACAUCAAUAAGACUUUAUAUUGAAUAACUUUUAUCGCAGUGACAUUAGUUCUUUGAACAAUAGCUUUCAUUGAUUCUUUGUUCUCAAAACAGAGUAAAGUAACACGUGUUCAUUUCUGAGAAAUUUUUGGCAAAUUGUAUUUUAUUGCAUGUAUGCCAUAUGCAAGUAACACGUGUUCAUUUCUAAGAAUUUGCCGAAAAUUUCUCAGAUAUGAACACGUAUUACUUUACUCUGUUUUGAGAACAAAGAAUGAAAGCUAAUUGUUCAAAGAACUAAUGCCACUGCUAUAAUUUCGGUCACCGCCAUCUACUGGGGCAUUGGAAUACUACCUGUUUACGCAGACGCAGAAUUAAAGUUUGAACUUGAUUUAAUUAAUUAUUAUUAGUUGUAUAUUUAAUAAAUUAUAACUACAUACAAAGUAAUUCGGUGCAUACCUACUUAAUUUCUGUUUCAACUACACAUACUUGGCAAACUUACAAGCCGGGGAUAUGGGAAUGUACCUACUAGAUUUUUAGUCGCAUACUCAGAAUAAGAAUGUUCUUUCUUACUUCACAUUUCAAAAUAUCACAAAUUUAAGAACAUUAUACAUACAUACAUAUACCAUAAACUAUAUAUGUAUUCGUAAACAAGACAGAUGUAUUUGAAAAUCAAAAUAAAACUUACAUAAAUUCUAUAUUUGAUAUAUAUGGAAGAAAAUAUUAGAGAAAAAUAAAGUUCACAUAGUAAAAUACAAGCAUGUUAAAAAUAUGUUAUAUACUCUUAUAUUUUAGGUUACACACUGAACAGUGUUUCAUAUAUCAUUAUAACAUAUUCCGUAUCAAUCUCAAGCUUGACGUUGGCAAAAUCAUCGUUUGGGAGAACGAUGGAGCUGUGAAAUAAAAAAAAACGCGUGACGUUACCGGCGUGAGCACAGAACAAAAGUACGGCGUGAGACUUUCGAGGUGCUUACCUACUUUGUGAAACUUCAAACUUUCCAACAAAUGGCUUGUGAGGACGCAAGGAUCGAAACAGCAUAAAAACAGAACUCCAUUAUUGCCUACAAGUGGCGAUGCGGCCACGAGGGCCGGAACGUGGUGGCGGCGCGCGUGGCGGGCUCUGACCGGGGGGCUUUGCCGAAAAUGGAGCACAGUAACACCCCCAGGAUCGGAGGAUGAUGUGGCCGCGUUUGCGCAGGAAGCGCUGGAAUAUUUUGAGACGAUUAGGCGUAAUCGCGAGCACUUCUACCGGCUGCGGCGUCUCGAAAUUGAAAAUCUUCCACCCGCCCGGCGCCUGCCACUUACGUCGGCCCAAAUGGCCGAAUUAAAUUACCUAUGGUCAAAAACUGUUGCAGCCGCCGAGAGUCGCGUUGCAGCGCGUCUAAAUAAAUUAGGGAGCUCUGUCCACUAAAAUUUUGUCUGGUUAGUUAUCUUUACUAUAAAUUGCAAUCCUAAUUCAUGCACAGUUUGUAAAUCGAUCUAGCUAUUUUCGGGAAUAUGAUGAAUACUAUCAAUACAGUAUAUAUAUCAUAUCUCCGAACACAGCUGGAUCAAUAUAUAAACUGCAUAAUAAAUUCUUGCAAUUUAUACUAAAGAUAACUAACUAAGAUUAUAAUUCUAGUUAGGACAGAGCUCCCAAAAUUGAUUAUUAAUGAACUUAAAAUUAAAAUAUAUUGAAAAACAAAUUGUCAUUUCUUUUUACUACCCUUUGUUUUCACAUAACUUUGACAUAAACAUCAUGCCAGCUAUACCUCUACACUAUCGCCGAAGUCAUUGCGCAGUUUGUAUGAGAGCUUUUAUAUAUCGCAAGAUGAAAGCAGCAAUGUCCGCCAAAAUCGCCAACUACAUUGUUGGUUUUUCAUUGCAGUAAAUAAAAUCUCUACAAACUAGGCAAUGUUCAUACAAUCGCGUCGCUAUCUGUCCGAUUCGAUGAUAGUGUGAGCCUACAUAUAAUCAUUAGGUAUCUACUAUGCAAAUUGAAAAUUGGCUAGAAGGUUCUGCUGUUAACAAUAGAUGGCGUGGCAGGAAGUUUAGGAAAUUACGUAAAAAAUAUUUUCGAGUCACAAUAAUGAUUAUUAUAACUACUCAACCGAUUUUGAGGAAAUUUGCCACAGAGACAGACGAAACAUCCAGGUGUGACAUAGGCUACUUUUUUAUUUAGAAAAGUUGACCCCAUGGUAAAAUUUGAAAAUUUAUAUGAAAAAAUGUUUUGUACUCUUAACUCCGGAAAUACUGUACGAACUUUAAUAAUUUUAUACUUUAAAACUGGCUUGCUGCAAUUUAUAUCUUGAAGUGUGAAGCUGGCGUAAAAAGUAUAAAUUUAUGAUUUAUUUUAUGUAAAAUUCCAAUCCAAAUAUUUUGCUAAUAAUUCCCUUAGAUGGCGGUGUUACUUUUUGAAACGCGAUAUGGUUUCGUUUUCUCAAGAAGCUAAGUACCUGGUUCACUUACGACUUUUUAACCUUUGUAAAUAUUGUAAAUAUUUGUAAAUAUUUGUAAAUAUGUACAUAGUUACGGGAAGAUUCUAAGGACUAGCUACAUUUUUUGAAGGGUCAUGGAUGAGAAUUCAUUCAUGACCUUUAUAUCCUACUAAUAUUAUAAAUGCGAAAGUUUGUUAGUGUAUACGUAUGUAUGUCUCUUUCACGCAAAAUCUACUAGACUGAUUAUUAUGAAAUUUGGUACACGGGUAGAAAAUAAUCUGGAGGGUAAUAUUUACCUCGAAAUUCCCACGGGAGCGAAGCCCCGGGGUGCAGUUUCACCUUAUAAAUAAAUGAAUAGUAGGUACAUACCUAAUCAACGCCAUAUAGAGACGGAUAUUUACCAUUAUGUAGUUGUUUAUACUAGCUUUUAGCUUUUGCUCGAAGUUGCAAUAUAUUUAAAAAUCAUUUACCUAUACUUUGAAACGGGUCGUAAUACAUCGAUAUUUUCCAAGAACUACACGUGUUACUUUCCUGGAUUUUGAGAACAAUGAAGUCAUUGUUGAAUAGCUAAUGGAGCAGUCGGUGUUUAGUUAUGACUUGCUAUUUAAGUGCCAUUGACAAUGAUGUAAAAAUAAAAAAUGUUAAAGAUAAAAAAAGUAAACAUUUAUUGAUAAAUAAGAUUUAAAUUUCAUGUGUAGUAUCAUUUUAAUGUAUCUACAUAUCCCCAUGUUUCACAAAUAAAAUGUUUAUUUAUUAGAACAAAAACAAAACCGAAAGAAAAAAAACCUGUUUAUUUACUAGAACAAAAACAAAUAAUUACCUAUCAUUAGAACAGAUGUUUUAUUUUAAAUUACUAAGCACGUCUCCUUAUAUAAAUCUUUGAAUUUAAAUAUCUUUGUAAAUAUAAGAACCAUAUUUUUUUUCCUCAACAUAUUUUAUUUAUUUCUAUUCGAUCUAUAGAUUGGAUACAUUAAAUUCCUAAAAAAAUAAAGAAAACUUAAAAAACACACCUGGUUACUAUUAGCGCACUGGCGUUGGUACUUUUAAAACACUCCAGAGGUGUGUCGUAGCACCGGCGCAAAGGAAAAAAAAUAACACCUUUCGUCACUAAAGCCGCACCGGCGUAGGAGUAAAGAGAAAACACGCUUCGUCACUAAAGGCGCACUGGCGGUCGAACUUUUAAAACACCCCUUGCGCGUUGGUAGCACCCGCGGGAAGAAAAUAAUGAGAUCACCUCUCGCGUGUAAUCGGCGCAUAGCUGUUACAUUCGGUAAAACACGCUACGUGUGUUUUUAGCAGGCAACGUGUUAA